rnacentral:rRNA from 1 species
AACGAACGCUGGCGGCAGGCCUAACACAUGCAAGUCGAGCGCCCCGCAAGGGGAGCGGCGGACGGGUGAGUAACGCGUGGGAACGUGCCUCUUGCUACGGAAUAGCCUCGGGAAACUGGGAGUAAUACCGUAUGUGCCCUACGGGGGAAAGAUUUAUCGGCAAGAGAUCGGCCCGCGUUGGAUUAGGUAGUUGGUGGGGUAAUGGCCUACCAAGCCGACGAUCCAUAGCUGGUUUGAGAGGAUGAUCAGCCACACUGGGACUGAGACACGGCCCAGACUCCUACGGGAGGCAGCAGUGGGGAAUCUUAGACAAUGGGCGCAAGCCUGAUCUAGCCAUGCCGCGUGAGCGAUGAAGGCCUUAGGGUUGUAAAGCUCUUUCAGUGGGGAAGAUAAUGACUGUACCCACAGAAGAAGCCCCGGCUAAACUCCGUGCCAGCAGCCGCGGUAAU